GACGAACGCUGGCGGCGUGCCUAAUACAUGCAAGUUGAGCGCUGAAGGUUGGUACUUGUACCAACUGGAUGAGCAGCGAACGGGUGAGUAACGCGUGGGGAAUCUGCCUUUGAGCGGGGGACAACAUUUGGAAACGAAUGCUAAUACCGCAUAAAAACUUUAAACACAAGUUUUAAGUUUGAAAGAUGCGAUUGCAUCACUCAAAGAUGAUCCCGCGUUGUAUUAGCUAGUUGGUGAGGUAAAGGCUCACCAAGGCGAUGAUACAUAGCCGACCUGAGAGGGUGAUCGGCCACAUUGGGACUGAGACACGGCCCAAACUCCUACGGGAGGCAGCAGUAGGGAAUCUUCGGCAAUGGACGAAAGUCUGACCGAGCAACGCCGCGUGAGUGAAGAAGGUUUUCGGAUCGUAAAACUCUGUUGGUAGAGAAGAACGUUGGUGAGGGUGGAAAGCUCAUCAAGUGACGGUAACUACCCAGAAAGGGACGGCUAACUACGUG
rnacentral:rRNA from 1 species